rnacentral:rRNA from 1 species
UACGAAGGGGGCUAGCGUUGUUCGGAUUUACUGGGCGUAAAGCGCACGUAGGCGGAUUGUUAAGUCAGGGGUGAAAUCCUGGAGCUCAACUCCAGAACUGCCUUUGAUACUGGCGACCUUGAGUCCGGGAGAGGUGAGUGGAACUGCGAGUGUAGAGGUGAAAUUCGUAGAUAUUCGCAAGAACACCCGUGGCGAAGGCGGCUCUCUGGAACGCAACUGACGCUGAGACGCGAAAGCGUGGGGAGCAAACAGG